AGAUUUUUUUAAAUCAUCUAUCAGACUUUUUUCCUGAAUGUCUUCAUUCAUUCACUCAGUGCAAGGCUAUGGUGCACUUAGUAUGUUCCUGGCUCUGUACUGGGUGCAGGUGUUACAGCAAUGAAUGUACUUUACCCUGGUGUAGCCUGCUGUCUAAUGAGGAGGAAAGAAAUUAGGCUGCUAAUAAGACAGAUACAGAUACAUUAUAAAAAGUGACUAUAGCACAUGAAGUCAUACUAUCAGCUUCCUGGGAACUUACAAUGAGGAACCAAAUUUAGAGUGAGGGCCUAGGAAGUGUCAUUCAAACGAAGAUCCAAAGGAGGAGGUAUAAAUAGCCCGCUGAAAACAUGGGGAAGGAGCAUUUCAAGCAGGGGAGACCAUGGGUGUAAAGGCUUUGAGUCAGUAAAAAGGGUAAUACAUUCGACAGUGGACAGGUAGCAGGAGACAGCAGCAAGACGUGGCAUUGGAGAAUUAUUCAGGGACAAGCUCCGUCAGGCCUUGCUGGGAGUCUGGAUGUUAUUUUAGGAACAACAGAAAGCCACUGAGGUAAUUAAACAGGGACAUAAUUGCAUCAGUUCUGCAUUUUUAAAAGAUAACUUGAGUUGUAGUGUGCAGAAUAUAAUGUAGUCAGCUCUGAACAGAGGCAGAGUGACCUAAACGUGGAAGGCAAUUUCCAUAUUCUGAGGGAUACCAAGUUUAGAUUAAGUUGGUAGUAGAGCUAGAGAGAGCCGAAAUCAUGCAAGGUAUAAUUUGGAGGAAGAAUACAGAAUUUAGUGAUUUACUGGACACAGAGGGCAAGGGAGACAGAUGCAUCAAGGACUCAUAGGGUUCUGGCAUAAGAACCUGGGAGUUCCCUUUUUGUUCUUGAGAGAUGCCCUUGAAGGCCUGGACAGGCAUUGGAGCACAGGGAGUUUAUUUUUCUGUCUAGGGUUCUGGGAAACAAUCCUAGAGUCCUGGGUGUGGCUUUAAUCACGUUUGAAUAAUUGAAAGUGCAUUUUUUUUCUUAGGAAUCAUCUUGAUUAUUGUGUGGACUAAAAAUUGGAAUGGUCAAGACUAAAGACAAAUAGCUGAUUUAGGAGGCUGGUGCUCAUUCAGGCUAAGCUGGAGGGAGAGAGAGAAACUCAAAACGUAUUUAGGAGAUAGAAUCAGGUUUGAGUCAACAGGUGGCUGCUGGUACUGUUUUAUAAGAUAGAAGACAACGGAGCCCGCCUUCCCGGGCCAGUGUGUGGAGGUCUCCGUGUCGCCAUUGCCGCCCGCACCUGACCUGCCGCGGCACUCUCGGCUGCAGCUCUGCUCGGCCCCGCGAUGCCGGUGGACCUCAGCAAGUGGUCCGGGCCCUUGAGCCGGCAGGAAGUGGACGAGCAGCUGCAGCACCCGCUGCAUGUCACCUACGGCGGGGCAACGGUGGAUGAGCUGGGCAAAGUGCUGAUGCCCACCCAGGUCAAGAACAGACCCACCAGCAUUUCGUGGGAUGGUCUUGAUCUACACCUUGGUCCUGACAGACCCGGAUGCUCCCAGCAGGAAGGAUCCCAAGUACAGAGAAUGGCAUCAUUUCCUGGUGGUCAACAUGAAGGGCAAUGACAUCAGCAGUGGCACAGUCCUCUCCAAUUACAUGGGCUCGGGGACUCCCAAGG